CAUACAAAGAGCAACACACAUUUUGUCACAUGCGCUGCAAACACGGCAAAAAAAGUCGAUUAUUCUCAGAUAUACUCCCUAGGGCAGAUUUAAGUAAGAUUCAAAAUAUUCCUCUGUCUUCCUUGCGUCUUCCCCCUAGGGGUAAAUAUUCCUGUGUCUUCCCUAAGUAUUCUCCGAAAAUACUCAAGACUAAAUUACAACAAGUAAUGCCCUAAUAUACACCGUGUGAAGACACGUGGAAGAUGCGAGUAUGCAUCUAAUUUACACCAUAUGGAAGACAAGGUGCAUAAUAAGUGUUUACCUCAUGUCUUUCCCAAAUAAUCCACGGGUGUAAACUUGUGUUUUACACAAGUCUUCCCCGAUGGUAAGGGGGGGGGGGGGUGAAUAUGUUUUCGGAUCGGCGGAUCGGGCCUAAAUUGGUCCGCGGAUUACGGAUUUAAGAAAAAAAUAGAGCGGAUUGACGGAUUCUUAAAAGGUACCGGAUUACGGAUCUAUUAAAAAUACGACGUCGGAUUUUGAUAAUCGUGACUGCGGAUUUUGCCAAUUGUUGAUUUAAAAAAAUCACAUAAGAAGUCCCUAAGAAGGGCUUACGGGCGAUUUUACAUGUCGCACAAUGCCUACAGGGUCUGCGCUGUGUGGACACGUCUUCCAUGAGCUUGAGCAUAUUAUGGUGGAUAUGACGUCAGCGGGUCUGGAAUUAGCAUAGCAUGUGGCUCACCAGUCACAUUUAUUGGUUAGCCUCUGGUCGUGUUCUUGAUGAAUUAUUCAAAGCCAAUCGAGUGUGUGGCAUUCUUUUACCGAGAAGGGUCUAAAGGGGAUGAUUUUCUACAAAAGUAUAAAUUCAGAUGUUCGGUUGAUGCAGAGAAAUGCAAAAGCCUUAUCAAGCUACGUGAACAUGUUCGGUAAGUGUAAGUUUCCCGCUCUUUUUGUUUUCUUUGUUGCCCGUACUACUAAUACUGCUUGCUUAUUUAUUUAUUUAUUUAUUUAUUUAUUUAUUUAUUUAUUUAUUUAUUUAUUUAUUUAUUUAUUUAUUUAUUUAUUUAUUUAUUUAUUUAUUUAUUUAUUUAUUGUUUUUUUUGCUAUCAAGUGCUCGUUUAUCCUUCCAAACUUGUGUUUGCCAAAAAAGCACCAGUGAUUGUCAUCAGCGAUCCUGGAGGCACUGUCGUAAGUCACGUCUACUGACGCUGCGCAACCAAGUACUUGUUCCAAAUCGCCAAGCCGACAAAAGACCCCAAAAGCGAGACUAUUGACGGAUACGCAGGUUGCUGCGCUUUACAAUGAUUUUGGCAAACUUGAUGGCUGCAAAAAAAAGUCGAGUCAUCUGUUAAAACGCCUAUCAAACAAAAAGGAAAGAUCACAGCUUGGCCAUACCAUAUAAAAUGCGGUAUCUGUAGAGUGACAAGACAGCUUGACUAUGACUGCAAACAUAAAGGAAGAAUUUCCAAAUUCAGGAGGGGUAUGUAAGGCUUACGAAGGAUCUAUUUUUAAUUUUCAGGCACGAUUUUAGGUUCCAGUUUGUCUUUUUAAUAUGCUUCCGGACUAUUAAAGGCUACUAAACGAGAAAUUUCUUGGACAAGAUAAAGUGUCCUUCGAUCCUCCUAUCCCAAGCGGAAUAUCAUCCCUUUCUGUCCUAUACUAGGCGGGAUUACCAGAAAAUCAGACUUACUCUUUCUUUUUCUCUAUUUCAUUAUAGAAGUUUACAUGAACAUAACAAAAAAUACAUUUUCGUUGGAUAGAUAAAUAAAUAAAUGUUAAAUCAAGGACGAGAUUUCUGGUUAAAUAACUCAUACUGCCUAUGUAAGAUGCCGAAAACUAUUUAUUAGCUUUACAAAAAGCACAGUGUAACUAAGCGUUAUAACCAAAUAAAGGUUUGUUUUGUUUUAUAGUAAUUUUGGUUUAUUGAUAUAUAGAAGUCUUAGCGAAAGUGACGUCGAUUACAGUGACUGUGAUUUCCAAAGCGCAUCAUCCAUUGACAGUCUAAAUUCCAGCGAGUUUACGGAAGGCGAGGGUAGUGAUACAGGGAAUGACAGUAAUGAGGAGGAGCCGAGGAUUAAGGUGGAUAGCGACAUUGACCAGGACGACAGUUCGUCUAUGAUUUAUGGUAUCGAGAUGGCGGAUCCAGUUUGCGUAAAGCUAAAUGACUUUAUCCGCAGAGGGAAAAUCGAAAUGACGUCACAGAAAUCUACUAUGACCCCCUUCAUGAAUAUGACAAGGACGUCAUAGAGUUUUUUUAACUCAAAAACUUAUCUCGGUGGAAGAAAAGUUGCUUGCUUUAUUAGAGGACCCAUGAACUGCAAGGAAGGUAGAGCAAGCCAGCUAGAUCCCGGUAGUGAAAAGCGAAUCAAUCUUGGAGGGCCGUCAUAAAAGACAUGCCUAAAACACCAAGCUGGCUAUACGAACGAGCCAGGGGUAUGGAAGCCACUUUCACUCGGCCAGCUAGCACUAAUGAGUCAAUUCAAGUGUCUUCCAGUUCUAAAGGCGGAUAAUAUUGUUGCCUAUCCUUGCUGUCUAGCAAACGAUGGUACGGCACUGAAGCCAGCUAUACAAUUUGAUGAAACGCUAAAAGAAGAUGUCGGUUUAAUCAAUAACAUAGAUAUCAACUUUGUCAAAAGAAAUCCGAAGCCCACUCCUGAAUUCCUGAAAGAAAACUUGGUGCAUGAGGCUGUUGUAUCUUCCGUGACCAGCCUUGAUAACAAGUGCAGCUUACCUUGUGCAAUCGGGUAUUCAACAAAGGCUGGCAAAACCGCAGAGUCCUGCAAGGACAUGUUCGUCAAGCAAGUGCGAGGGGUGCCAAGAUGGGCUAGCUUUGGAGUGUAAGUUCAAGCAGCCGAUGGGAAUCUGCUCUGAAUUCGACAAUGUAGUCUAUGUCUGUGACGCCCAGUCCAACUCUAUCAAGCUUAUCACUCCUAUAUCUCAAACUGCAAAGUUUCUGAGUGGAGUAGGGAACAUCUACGAGGCGUUCGCCGUCCACAAGAAAGGUCAGAAAGUCAGAGCUAACUCUAGAAGAAGCUACACAAAAGGUUAGGGAGUGUAAACAAGUCCUUGCUGGAUACGAGAGGGCAGUGCGCCAGGAAGAUGGGCUCUCCAAAAAGACCUUGAAUGGUCCUCAAGGCAUGGUUUCGGCUGUUAACAGUACAGUCAAUCGACAUCAUGGAGUGGGGACUUUCAAGAAUGGCUGCUCUUUUGUCCAGGCUCUCGUUUUCCGACACCAGCCUUCUGAAUUGUAUGACCUUUUACAUGCAACGACUCAUAUAAAGCACCCACUUCUUUC